rnacentral:rRNA from 1 species
UACGAAGGGGGCUAGCGUUGUUCGGAUUUACUGGGCGUAAAGCGCACGUAGGCGGAUCGAUCAGUCAGGGGUGAAAUCCCAGGGCUCAACCCUGGAACUGCCUUUGAUACUGUCGAUCUGGAGUAUGGAAGAGGUGAGUGGAAUUCCGAGUGUAGAGGUGAAAUUCGUAGAUAUUCGGAGGAACACCAGUGGCGAAGGCGGCUCACUGGUCCAUUACUGACGCUGGAGG